UUAUAGACUAUUAAAAAGACACCCCCCAAUAUUUUUUUAUGUUUAAUAAUACAUUGUUUAUGCUGUUUAAAUCGUUGAUCACUCACCCACAUUCACCUGUUUGUGUCAAAGUAAUUUCUGGUGUAAUAACGAGUUUCGCCAGUAGCUGGCAGUAGUGGAUAAACAGACUGACCAUGCGAGCACACGCGAAGAAGCUCAGUUCAGCCAAGCUGUCUGCCGUUGGUCAAGCAGAGAAACCACUACUGACACAAAACUGUUAUUUUCUGUGAUUACAGAAGAUUAAGGACCUGAAAGCAAGCCUGGAGUUCACCCACCAGCAGAUAGAGGACCUGCAGAGAGACAACACUGAACUCUGGUCCACGCUGACAGCUGUCACUUCAGAGGUAAAUACACUCAAAAAAGAAAACAAAAUCCUGAGGGAGAUGGUCCUGGACAUUCAGUCGAGGAGCAUGCGGGACAACCUGAUCUUCUCUGGCAUCCCUGAGUCCACACCGGCUAACCCAGAGACCCUUGUUAAGAACUUUAUGAUGUCGGCGCAUAAAAUCCCUGCGGAAACUGUUAAAAACAUCACUGUCCACCGGCUCGGACCCCAAGAAGGAAAGUGUCACCAUCCCAUCAUUGCAAAGUUCGAGCACUUCCAACAAAAAGUGCUUGUAAGGAGCAAAGGACGGGAGCUGAAAGGCAUGUCAUACGGGAUGAACGACCAAUUUCACAGGGAAAUCAAUGAGAGGCGCAAAGUAUUAUACCCCAUCAUGAAAGAACACAGGCAGAGAGGUAAACGGACUGCACUGAUUGUGGACAAACUGUACAUGGAUAGGCAGCUAUUUCAGGAACCCUCUAUUACCUCCUGGCUCUUCUAAAAAAAAACAAAAAAAAAAAACGAAACAAUAAUGAUAAUAAGGCUUAAAUGCUUAAUACAUCACUGAGUAAUUUACGCUAGAAAACAUAAUCAAAUAAAUCACACAGGUGUAAAUGUGUCAUUCACCUAAUCUACACACCCCACUGGAGAACCCCGCUCCUCCUACUUUCCUCUCUCUCCUUCUCUAUACGUCUCCUUUUACACCUCUCAUACACUCACCUCCCACACCCUCACUCACACCCAAUGUACACCCUAUGUUUAUUGUGCUUGUAUGUUUUAUAAUGUCUUUAUCAGGCAAUGAUGUGGUAUUAUAUAAUGUACAUAUAGAAUCUGACUUGAUGUAUACAUCUCUCUCCAACACCCACAGCUCACAGACAGCAACAAACAGCUCACAAGGACUCACAGAUGUUAUUUUAUAUUGCUACAUACUCAAUGACUGAACUUCUCUCUCUGUGUUCAAGUUAAAUAUCGUAGCCUGGAAUGUUCAUGGCAUACGCUCAUAAACAACAAGAGUUAAAAUCAUGGAUUAUGUCUGUAAAUGAAAAGCAAAUAUUUUCCUCCUCCAAGAAAUGCAUUUACUAUCGGAAGAAAAAUCUUUAUCAGAUCUGAAUUAAACUUUCAUCUUGUUAUAACAGCAGACAAAGA